rnacentral:tRNA from 1 species
CAAUUUAGUAGUCUAGGUGUAGGAUGCGGGCUUUGGGGGCCUGAGGCCUCAUUAUAUUGAGCUAGUUGG